UACGUAGGGGCCGAGCGUUGUCCGGAUUUAUUGGGCGUAAAGCGCGCGCAGGCGGCCUCGCGCGCCCGACGUGAAAGCCCCCGGCUUAACCGGGGAGGGUCGUUGGGGACGGCGGGGCUUGAGGGCGGGAGAGGUCGGUGGAAUUCCCGGUGUAGUGGUGAAAUGCGUAGAGAUCGGGAAGAACAUCGGUGGCGAAAGCGCUCUACUGGACCGCAACUGACACUCAGGGACGAAAGCUAGGGGAGCGAAUGGG
rnacentral:rRNA from 1 species